rnacentral:rRNA from 1 species
AUCUCUGUAGAGUCUGCAUAUCAAUAAGCGGAGGAAAAGAAACUAACAAGGAUUCCCUUAGUAACGGCGAGUGAAGCGGGAAGAGCUCAAAUUUGAAAUCUUCAAGGUUUUACCUUGACGAAUUGUAGUUUAAAGAAGUGUUUUCUGUUGAAGUUUCGGUAAAAGUUCUUUGGAAUAGGACAUCAUAGAGGGUGAGAAUCCCGUAUUUGACCGUUAUUUUCAGCUGUGUGAUACACUUUCAAAGAGUCGGAUUGUUUGGGAAUGCAGUCCAAAAUGGGUGGUAAAUUUCAUCUAAAGCUAAAUAUUGGCGAGAGACCGAUAGCGAACAAGUACCGUGAGGGAAAGAUGAAAAGAACUUUGAAAAGAGAGUUAAACAGUACGUGAAAUUGUCAAAAGGGAAGCGUUUGACACCAGUGUUGUUUUCUCGAAAAUCAAUUAAAAAUGGCUUGAUUUUGUGUUGUAUUGACCUUAAAAGCUUUCUUCACUUUUUUCAUGUCUUUUUAAUGCACUUUUCGUUUAACAAGUCAACAUCAGUUUCUUUUGUUGUAAAAAGGUCAUUGGAAGGUGGCUUUCUUUUCGGAGAAAGUGUUAUAGCCUUUGACUUCUGCAAUCGGAGAGACUGAGGUCUGCAGCGUAGAUCCUUCUGGAUUAGAUUCAUUUGUGCUAAGUUAGCAACCGUUUAUAGACAACUUGUUGACUAUAUUCGAUCCUGUAGCUUACUCGCUUAUGUAAUUUUACCUACGCUUAGGAUGUUGAUAUGCAUGACUGAUAU